rnacentral:rRNA from 1 species
GUGGGGAAUUUUGGACAAUGGGCGAAAGCCUGAUCCAGCAAUGCCGCGUGCAGGAUGAAGGCCCUCGGGUUGUAAACUGCUUUUGUACGGAACGAAAAGCCUGGGGCUAAUAUCCCCGGGUCAUGACGGUACCGUAAGAAUAAGCACCGGCUAACUACGUGCCAGCAGCCGCGGUAAUACGUAGGGUGCAAGCGUUAAUCGGAAUUACUGGGAGUAAAGCGUGCGCAGGCGGUUUUGUAAGACAGUGGUGAAAUCCCCGGGCUCAACCUGGGAACUGCCAUUGUGACUGCAAAGCUAGAGUGCGGCAGAGGGGGAUGGAAUUCCGCGUGUAGCAGUGAAAUGCGUAGAUAUGCGGAGGAACACCGAUGGCGAAGGCAAUCCCCUGGGCCUGCACUGACGCUCAUGCACGAAAGCGUGGGGAGCAAACAGGAUUAGAUACCCUUGUAGUCC